AGGUUUCUAAGAAUGACUCCAAGGCAGAGGAAGGUGAAUGUGAAAGGUUUCAAUGUAUCCAAACAUCUUUCUUUUCUAAAACCUGAAGAUGACUGAUCCUCUGAUGAGAAGGUAGUCAUCAAAAAAAAUACAGCCACAGACUUGGAGAGUGCUGGUCUGAGAGGCAGAGAACCUCUGUAUUUAUUACAAAGCCAAGUGUAACAGAAUACUUAAGGUGGAUUCUUUACCGUCUGAGCCAAAAGGGAAACUCCAUGAAUGAAUAUGUCAGUCAUGUGUCCUGCCUUGUCCUAACUGAAAGCUAGUCUAGAUGCUUGCUUUUACUUGGAACCUUUGGCUGACUGCAUCGAGAAAAAGAUUAUUUGAAGCUCAUUCAUUCCAGCAUUUGGACUUUGGACCCAAGAAAUCUAAUGAAAAAAAUGCUACUUACAAGAAACUCCACCCUUGGAUCGUGGUUAAUUGUAGUCUAUAUCCCUAGUUCACUUUUGCUGCAAAGGGACUGUAUGAAAAUCUCUAUGGACCUAGAGAAUUUUGGUUUCAGUAACUGAUAACAGUUUUUAUCUUGACUAGGAGUGGCCAUGUAAGGGAGUCCUAUAUCAUACUACAAAUGGC
ensembl:lncRNA